GGGACCAUCCGGUAAGGCUAAAUACUCCCGAGAGACCGAUAGCGAACCAGUACCGUGAGGGAAAGGUGAAAAGCACUUCGAACAGAAGAGUGAAAUAGUUCCUGAAACCGUGCGCCUACAAGCGGUCGGAGCUCGUUAAUGAGUGACGGCGUGCCUUUUGCAUAAUGAACCUACGAGUUGCCUUUGCCGGCAAGGUUAAGUGUGACGACACACGUAUCCGAAGCGAAAGCGAGUCUGAAGAGGGCGUAUAGUCGGCAGUGGCAGACGCGAAACCAAGUGAUCUACCCUUGGCCAGGUUGAAGGCUGGGUAACACCAGCUGGAGGACCGCACCAAUAAGCGUUGAAAAGCUUCUGGAUGAGCUGAGGGUAGGGGUGAAAGGCUAAUCAAACUUGGAGAUAGCUCGUACUCCCCGAAAUGCAUUUAGGUGCAGCCUUGCGGGUUACUGAUGUGAGGUAGAGCGACUGAUAAGAUGCGAGGGCUUCACCGCCUAUCAAGUCUUGACAAACUCCGAAUGCGCAUCAGUUCUACCGCAGGAGUGAGGGCAUGGGUGCUAAGGUCCGUGCCCGAGAGGAGAAGAAUCCGGACCACCUGCUAAGGUCCCGAAAUGACAGCUAAGUUAAACUAACGAAGUCUGACUGCUAAGACAGCUAGGAUGUUGGCUUGGAAGCAGCCAUUCAUUUAAAGAGUGCGUAACAGCUCACUAGUCGAGGAGUCGGGCGUGGAUAAUAAUCGGGUAUCAAGUUGUCUACCGAAGCAGUGGGAUCAUUUAUAUGAUCGGUAGGGGAGCAUUCCAGUCAGCGUCGAAGGCGUACCGUGAGGUAUUCUGGAGCGUCUGGAAAAGCAAAUGUAGGUAUAAGUAACGAUAAAGGGGGCGGGAAACCCCCUCGCCGAAAGACUAAGGUUUCCUGAUCAACGCUAAUCGGAUCAGGGUCAGUCGGGUCCUAAGGCUCAGCCGAACGGCGAUGCCGAUGGCAGAAACGGUUAAUAUUCCGUUACUACCUUCAGGAGUGACGUGGAGACGCAGUAGUGACAGUGCCGCCAUCUGACGGAAUAGAUGGUUGAAGGGUGUAGGAGUCGAUCAUGGCAGGCAAAUCCACCAUGAGAUCCGAACCUGACAGUAUGCCGCGUCCUUCGGGACAAGGCAAUAGUGCGCGUAAGCAUGCUGCCGAGAAAAUCCGCUAAACUUAAUCCUGCAGGUACCCGUACCGCAAACGGACACACGUAGUCGGGAUGAAUAUUCUAAGGCGCUUGAGUGAUUCACGGUUAAGGAACUAGGCAAACUGACCCUGUAACUUCGGGAUAAAGGGUCCCUACCCUUUUAUGGGAGGGCGCAGAGAAUCGGUCCAGGCAACUGUUUAACAAAAACACAGGGCUGUGCCAAAUCGAAAGAUCCAGUAUACAGCCUGACACCUGCCCGGUGCUGGAAGGUUAAGAGGAGAUGUCAUCGAUAAGAGAAGCGUUGAAUUGAAGCCCCAGUAAACGGCGGCCGUAACUAUAACGGUCCUAAGGUAGCGAAAUUCCUUGUCGGGUAAGUUCCGACCUGCACGAAUGGUGUAAUGAUCUGGACGCUGUCUCAACCGUGAGCUCAGUGAAAUUGUAGUAUCGGUGAAGAUGCCGAUUACCCGCGAUGGGACGAAAAGACCCCGUGAACCUUUACUAUAGCUUAUCAUUGAAUCUGGGCACGUGAUGUGUAGGAUAGGUCGGAGGCUUUGAAGCAGGUACGCCAGUAUUUGUGGAGCCGCUGUUGAAAUACGACCCUUUAUUUGUUUGGAUUCUAACCCGUGGAACGGGGACAUUGAUUGGUGGGUAGUUUGACUGGGGUGGUCGCCUCCAAAAGCGUAACGGAGGCUUCUAAAGGUGCCCUCCGGCCGAUUGGUAACCGGCCUUAGAGUGUAAUGGCAUAAGGGCGCUUGACUGGGAGACUAACAAGUCGAUCAGGUAGGAAACUAGAGCAUAGUGAUCCGGUGUUUCCGUAUGGAAGGGACAUCGCUCAAAGGAUAAAAGGUACUCCGGGGAUAACAGGCUGAUCCCUCCCAAGAGCUCAUAUCGACGGAGUGGUUUGGCACCUCGAUGUCGGCUCGUCACAUCCUGGGGCUGGAGAAGGUCCCAAGGGUUGGGCUGUUCGCCCAUUAAAGUGGCACGCGAGCUGGGUUCAGAACGUCGUGAGACAGUUCGGUCUCUAUCUAUCGUGGGCGUAUGAAAUUUGCGUGGCUCUGACACUAGUACGAGAGGACCGUGUUGGACAGACCUCUGGUUUGCCGGUUGUGCCGCCAGGUGCAUUGCCGGGUAUCUAAGUCUGGAUCGGAUAAGUGCUGAAAGCAUCUAAGUACGAAGCCGGCCACAAGAUUAGAUUUCUCAGGGUCGUUGU
rnacentral:rRNA from 1 species